GUGACUACAGAGACGCUGGCGGCGCGUCUUAAACAUGCAAGUCGAACGGCAAGAGAAAAGCUUGCUUUUCUCCUAGAGUGGCGGACUGGUGAGUAACACGUGGGUGACAUACCUUUUAGUUGGGGAUAGCUGUUAGAAAUAGCAGGUAAUACCGAAUGUGACCGCAUCUGUUAGAGAGGUGCGAGGAAAGGAGCUAAGGCUCCGCUAGAAGAAUGGCUCGCGGCCCAUUAGCUAGUUGGUGAGGUAACGGCCCACCAAGGCAAUGAUGGGUAUCCGGCCUGAGAGGGUGAACGGACACAUUGGGACUGAGAUACGGCCCAGACUUCUACGGGAGGCAGCAGUUAAGAAUAUUCCGCAAUGGACGAAAGUCUGACGGAGCGACGCCGCGUGGAUGAAGAAUGCCGAAAGGUUGUAAAAUCCUUUUAAGCCUGAGGAAUAAGCGGAGGAGGGAAUGCCUCUGCGGUGACUGUAGGGCUUGAAUAAGCAACGGCUAAUUACGUG
rnacentral:rRNA from 1 species